rnacentral:rRNA from 1 species
AUGUGAAUUGCAAAUUCAGUGAAUCAUCGAGUCUUUGAACGCACAUUGCGCCCCCUGGUAUUCCGGGGGGCAUGCCUGUCCGAGCGUCAUUGCUGCCCUCAAGCACGGCUUGUGUGUUGGGCCCCGUCCUCCGAUCCCGGGGGACGGGCCCGAAAG